rnacentral:rRNA from 1 species
GAAUAUUGCACAAUGGGCGCAAGCCUGAUGCAGCAACGCCGCGUGAGGGACGACGGCCUUCGGGUUGUAAACCUCUUUUAGUAGGGAAGAAGCCGCAAGGUGACGGUACCUGCAGAAAAAGCACCGGCUAACUACGUGCCAGCAGCCGCGGUAAUACGUAGGGUGCAAGCGUUGUCCGGAAUUAUUGGGCGUAAAGAGCUCGUAGGCGGUUUGUCGCGUCUGCUGUGAAAACUGGAGGCUCAACCUCCAGCCUGCAGUGGGUACGGGCAGACUAGAGUGCGGUAGGGGAGAUUGGAAUUCCUGGUGUAGCGGUGGAAUGCGCAGAUAUCAGGAGGAACACCGAUGGCGAAGGCAGCUCUCUGGGCCGUAACUGACGCUGAGGAGCGAAAGCGUGGGGAGCGAACAG